AUUGAACGCUGGCGGAAUGCUUUACACAUGCAAGUCGAGCGGCAGCGCGGGGGCAACCCUGGCGGCGAGCGGCGAACGGGUGAGUAACAUAUCGGAACGUACCCUGUCGUGGGGGAUAACUAUCCGAAAGGAUAGCUAAUACCGCAUACGACCUGAGGGUGAAAGCGGGGGACCGCAAGGCCUCGCGCGAUAGGAGCGGCCGAUAUCGGAUUAGCUAGUUGGUGAGGUAAAGGCUCACCAAGGCGACGAUCCGUAGCGGGUCUGAGAGGACGACCCGCCACACUGGAACUGAGACACGGUCCAGACUCCUACGGGAGGCAGCAGUGGGGAAUUUUGGACAAUGGGCGCAAGCCUGAUCCAGCAAUGCCGCGUGGAUGAAGAAGGUCUUCGGAUUGUAAAGUCCUUUCGACGGGGACGAUGAUGACGGUACCCGUAGAAGAAGCCCCGGCUAACUUCGUG
rnacentral:rRNA from 1 species